rnacentral:rRNA from 1 species
GUGUACGUUGCAAAGUACUCAGAAGAAUUGUGGUAAGAAGUGAAAUACAAAUCGGACUAGGAUAUAGCUGGUUUUCUGCGAAAAUUGUUUUGGCAAAUUGUUUAUUUUUUUUUUUCAUUCAUUCAAAGAAUGAAUGUAUAAUAAUAGUGGGUAUAGCACUGAAUACUUUGGGGGAGUAUUAUUAUAUUUAUCUCGGGUAUUUAAUCUCUAAAUAACUAUUUAUUUAUAGGUAAAUAAUCAGAGUAUUUGCGAUAAGGUAGAUAGUCAAAAGGGAAACAGCCCAGAACAGUUAUUAAAGCUCCAAAAUUAAUAUUUAGUGAAAUAAAAGUUGUUGGUAGUCUUUUACAGUCAAGAAGUGGGCUUGGAAACAGCCAUC